UGUCCAUUUCAUGUCUUGGCCAUAAAUCGUAACUAACGUCUCGGGAUGGCAAGGAUUCGGCGAGAUGGUUUAAUGCAUAUUUAUACCACCUAAAUGGCUAAUGAGCAAAACGUGCCACACAUGCACCAAAUUUUUGAGGCAUGAAUAUGCGAAAACACGAAGGAAAUACAUUAAUUAAAUUUUUGGUAAUGCCCGUCGUCGGCCAAGAGGAAACUGAAAAGGGCGCUGUAACUUUUACUAACGAACUGAAAGCGGUAAUCAUCAGGGGAAAACCGGGAAGAGCUGGAUAAAAACCAUGAGACCUAUAAAGAAAAUCAUGCCAGGCCAUGUGUGUCUGAAUUCUGAUUGAGAAUUACGCCAAAGAGAACGAAUGCGAGAAGAGGGAUUUUCCUUUGCAUUAUUUAUAAGAAACAAAACCGAAAUAAUGAUGCCUCAUAAAAAUGACGGGGCUCAAGCCCAUAUUACGGAUAUUACAAACAAAAGAUAAUACUAUAAUGAGCAAUAAGCCAAAGGCAAAUAAUAAAGGCCAUCUGCAGAAAAAGCUUCCAGGGCCCCAGACCACAGCACCGAAUUCAAUUAUGUGCGAUAAACAGAAGUCAUUAAAUAUUAAAGUGCUAAUGGAAAAGGAAUCGGUGCCGGUGCCCAUACAAAAGAUGACGCUUUCCCGGGAAAAUAAACCGCCUCAAAGGAGACGCAUUCGGGGAUAAGGAAAAGUGUAAUGGGCGAAAAACAAAGAGUGACGGCUAUAAAGGAUACUGAGUGCAGUACAACACAUGACCAACUGUCGCUCUCAGUAAACAACGCUGAUAAACACGGCGAAAAUGAGCAAAUACUUGAGGUAACAUUUUAUUAAAUUUAAAUUUAUAAAUGGUAUAAUAAUUGUGCACAUUGGUGCUUCGAUGGGCUUCACUUUAGUGCUCCCCUCAAUUUAAUACUCUAUUAUGCACGCAUAACGGGGGGAAACACCCACAUCGGUUUGGGGCUAAUUUUACGCUCCUCUAACUCCGCAUUAUGCGAUUAUUAUGUUCCGGUUGUGGGGUUGAGUGCUGUGCAAGGAACCAGCUGCCCCACGUGUAUUUUGAGCCGAAUAAUGGGGGCUCUUCCAAUAGAAACGGUGGUCGCUGUCAACAAUACACAUUGAUUAGACCCAUUAACAAAUGGGUGCGUAAUUCGCAACUCGAUACUAUCAGCAAUUUAAUCUGGGAUUUAAGCCGUGCACAUGCAAAUCAGUGAUUUCGAGGCCGCAGAAUAAACUGCUCAACAUGCUGAUUUAGCCAGGGAUGCAGAAAUACAUUAAAAAAUAUAAUAUUAUUUAACUAACCUGUUAAAUAAACUUUCAGCUCCAAUAAAUUUUACAAACUUUGCCCAAAGAAAAAAAGAUCUAAAGUACCUAAAUUGCCUUAUUGUGGAUUAAAGUGAGUAAGCGUCUUAAUAAAUCCUAAUUAAAAUCAUUUAUUCACUUAAAAAGCUGCCUAGCAACGAACUUGUAAACUAAAUAUUUUUAACAUCCCUGAUUCAAAUGUCGAAAAAUGGCGAUGCAGCACAACCGCGAAUCUCUAAACCGAAACCAGAUUUUAAAUGCAUGUAAUUGUUAUAGAGACGAGCGUUGGCCAAACAAAAUUUGCGUCACUAUUGCGGCUGCACCUGCGGCCGUCAACGGCAGGUGUUUCCUCGCCCUCGUAAGCUGCACUUUCCAGCAAAUAAAUUAUAAAUAAAAUACAUCGACGUCCCCAUCCACAUCCCAUCACCAUCCACAUGGCCACCAAGUGCUGUCAUGAUUUUGCCGAACGAAGCACACAAGCUCUCUGCCUGGGCGGGGUGACCAGAUUAAAUAUAUCCCUUUUUUCGGCAUCCCGUCCACGCUGCGGAUGCUUUAUUUAUGCCAUGAAUAAAUGCAAAUUUCCCAACGCCACAGCAGAUUUUGCAACAUAUGAGCAAAGAAAAGCGGAUGGCAGCGUUUGGGGGCAAACGGAAAAGAGACUCCGCAGCGUGUCCUUUGCAUAAUAAUAACUUGUAAAUGUCAUGUAGCGUAACCGUGUCCUCUAUCAAAAAAAAAAAAAAAAAGAAGAAACAAAAAAAACUAGGGGAGAAAAUGCCAGAGUGUAGUACUCCAUUUGGGAUCGUGUGCCGUAUGCGAAUUAGCAUUUAAUAUGGGACAUAGGGCCAUGAACAUUAACAUUGCUAAUACGCCCGAGUGUCUUCAAAAAGGGAAACUGGCCAGCCAAGGCGGCAAAAACGGACUGCAAGGCAGAAGGAAAGUGCAACAAGUUGAAAGAAAUAGAAUAAAUAGCAAUGAACCGAAGCAGAAAUGUAAACAUUUCACUUGCCCUCUGUUUGCUCACUUCAUGGAAUCAGGCGAUUAGUUUAACUUCUCAACCUUUUGCCAACCAUCGAACGCCACUAAUUGACCGGAAACGAGAAAAAUUGAUUUAUUUGCUUGGGCUUUGGGCCGUCUCGGUCUCAUUAUUGUGAUAAAAGCUGGGCACAUAAUCAAGGGCAAUUGGCUGUUUGAAAAGCGAUUUCCGUAAGCCAGGAAAUUUAUAAAUUUGUCGAGACCUUGAUCCGAAUUAAUGUGUUUAAGGGUCAAGUAAAGUGGGGUAUUUAAUAAAUUAAAUAACAUUAAGUAAAUUGAACUAGAUUUCUACUAGGUUGUUGAGACUAAACAUAUUUUUUUCUGGUUAUAAAAUGUUUACGAAUCACAAUGAACACAAAUUCGUUAGUUGGCUUAGCUUAUGAAUUUGUAUCAUUUGCUUAGCCAGCAAUCGCCCAACAACGAAACCCAAUCAACUUUCGUUUCCAAUUUCUGGUUGCCAUUAAAUGGGAAGGAAAUAAGGCAAACUUUAAUUAUUUAUGGGCCUGAAGGAGUCUCGUCCACUGAAUACGGCAUAAUACGGCAAAUUUGCUGGCCAGCAACAACUUACUCCCGCCAGAUUCAUUGGGCCAUUUUUCGCAUUGGCAAGCGCUUUUGGCCCAAAGACAGCGAGCCACUUGUGUGCGAUACGUUUGCCACAAAGACAGAAACGAAUCUCUGAAUGGAAGGGAGAAGACAGUCAUAUACGUAGAGCCAUUUGAAAACUAUUACGCCCAGGAGAUUCAUUCAAGUAGUGCGGCAUUUAUAACUCAAAUGUUGCCCAAGUAACAAAAAGCCUAAAAACUCGAGCACAACGGCAGGAGUUCAAGUGUGGAGAAGGAUUUGCAGCCAGCCAUUAGUGAUGAGAAACGAAUGAUUACUAAGAUUUUAUUUGGUUCACCAUAAGUAUACUAUAAGUAUAAGGGUAUAUAAAAAUAAUGUACAAACAUUAAAAAAGUACGAUACUUUGUGAUAGUUUAUAUCUGGCUGAAUCAGUGAUAGUUCAUUCUGGGAAAUAUUGAAGCACUAGAAAAAGUUUGGCCAUCUCUGUUGAAGGGAAUGGGAAUAACGAACUAUGGCAGGAAUAUGAAGAAACUGUGGAAACAUUCGAGGCAAUGGCGAAAACGGCAACACAGAACGGCAUUCUCUGUGCUUGCUUUUUAUUAGAAUGCGUCCAUGGAGACGUGGGCGCCAGCCAUUGUCUGGCAGCCUCCUCCAUGAAUCCCUAUCGCCUUCUGAACGAGUAUACUCGUAUAUAUUGUAUAAUAUAUAUUGUGCCUGUGCCUGUGCAGUUUGCUAUACGUUUCUUAGCACGUAGUUAUCUAUGGCAGCAACUGGAACAACAAUGCCACUUGAAACAACAAUAAAAAGUUUGUUGAAUAUAGAUACUCGUGUAUCGUGGACAACUCCCUAUGCCGCUAUGAAAAAAAGGAUGAAAAUAAAAUAUAAACAUUCUAAACCAAACUGGAAAAAAACAUCAAGGUAUAUGGCAAUCUAGUUCGUAAUGAAAAGUUUGCUAACUACGCUUAUAUUUUGUAAACAGUUCGUGGCACACAUUAAUAAACAUUUAUUUUUA